GAGAAGUCGCAACAGAUAUUACGGAUUAUUUGUAGUGAGCUAAACUCAGUUUCACUUUGAAUUCAGACGACAUACAAAAUACCAAAAUUAUACUGAAAAAAACAGGUGUGGACGGCUCAAGUUUCUCAAGAUCUAUAUGAUACAAAUAAUACCUCAAAGACAUCCAAUAAAGUAAUGGAAGGACAAAGAAAAGACAGCGUCUAUCAAGCACAACAUGGUGUAGCUGGUAAGAGAAAAGAUGGAGUUGACCAGCCGUUUCCAAACAAACCUGUUAGCCACAGAAGACCUCUCCACCCAGGGAAACAAGACUCACUUGACCUGGAGGAUUUUGAAAAAAUAACUCUGACAGGACAACCAAAAGGCCCUUCGUUUCCGUCAAAAUACCAUUCAGAUGGCAUCGGAAAAACCACUGGAUCGCGGCAAACAAGGAAAGACUCGCACAUAGAGACCAGUGGAGAACUGAAAAUGGCCAGAGCAAUUCAUGAAAAAGAGCUAAUGCUACAGGAGAAGCUGUGGAGCGUUGAGGAAAAAGUAAGACAGAAAUACCAGAGAUACGCUGCUGCACAUGAGGACCCAAAGAGUAGGGAACAGAGGAACAACAGGGGACAAGCAGAGAGGGGAAAAGUUCAGACAAAAGGUGGGCUGUUUGAGCAGCAGAGGAGAGAACCAGUGGAAAGAGAAAUUAUGUUGCAAGAUAGAAGACAGGAGGAUGUUAAACAACUAAGGAGGAUGCAAGAUCAGAGGAACAAAGACAGAAUAAGUAUAAAACAUGAAGAAGAAAGGGUCAGAUGGGAAAAAGAAGUUGCACAGUCACAAAGAAAAAGUCAUAAAGGAACUCAUCAGACCACAGUUCAUGAGCAAGAAGUGAGUGGAGAGUUUAUCAAGUCAACUAGGGGAAAUGUGAAGGAGCAUACCGGAAGCAAAAGAGGGGAGGAAAAAGGUGAAGCCAUUUGGGGAAAGACUGGUGUCAGGUCUCAGGAUGGAACAGUAAAAACACAAGAAAGAUCAGAUAAAGAUUGGUCAAGAGAAAGGAAAUAUAAGGAACUGUAUCUCUCUGAAGAUGAACGAGAUAUGCCUCAAAGUAGUCAACACAUAAGUUCUCAUAAGGCUGCAACAGGAAACAGCAGAGGUGCAGAAAGAAAAGUGUCUGAGGGACAACUGCUUCCACCAGUUUCUCAUCCCUCUCAUUCCAGCAGACCAGAGCAAGGGGAGCUCAGACAGGAAGAGAGCACAGACACCAGCCUCCGACAAGUCCCUUGCAGCGUCUGCAACAGAAUGUUUGCAGUUGAAAGAUUACAGAAGCAUCUCGAAAUCUGUACUAAGCUGAAACAAUCGAAGCGUACAGUCUUCAACAUCUACGUACACAGGACUAAGGGAUCCGCCAUCGAGGAGUACUGGAAAACCCACACAAAGAUUCCAGAGGUUUUGAAGAAAAAAACCAUCCGGCAUCCCCACAAGACAAACAUAAGUAAUCUGGAGGAAAGUCGACUCCCAACUGGAACUUCCAAACCAAAAUGGGCAAAAUGAGCCGAGACUUUAAAGAAGAAAUCUGCAGGUGUCAGCAAUUCAAGUCACUCAUUGGUUAUAUUAUUGUUCCAAUCAACCCGUUAGCAUACUGUAAUUAUUAAUUGCCUUAAAAAAAAUGUAAUAUACUAAUCAGAACUGUUGCAAGAAUAGUGCAUAUUGCUAUCAACAAAUAGGUUUAGUGUGGUGUAUUGUGGUUUGUAUAAAUAUUGACAGUAGACCAGAAUAAAAGACAGGUGUUAGUUUUAUUUAUGGAUUUUAAACAAAGACAGUGUGCCUGUAAGAAAAGAGUUUAUACAACUGUUACAUCUCCAUAAUAUUUGGUUAACUGUUGAGAAAAAUGAAACGCUGCCAACACACUACACACUGUCAUAACUGCAAUAACUUUUGGUUUAUAUAGCUUUCUAAGGCACUGUUGCAUUUUUUGUUAUAACACACACAAAAAACAUACAUAUUUGCUUUCACAAAUAUUUCAAAAUAUGGUGAAA